rnacentral:rRNA from 1 species
UACGUAGGGUGCGAGCGUUAAUCGGAAUUACUGGGCGUAAAGUGUGCGUAGGCGGGUCUUUAAGUCAGGGGGGAAAUCCUGGAGCUCAACUCCAGAACUGCCUUUGAUACUGAAGAUCUUGAGUUCGGGAGAGGUGAGUGGAACUGCGAGUGUAGAGGUGAAAUUCGUAGAUAUUCGCAAGAACACCAGUGGCGAAGGCGGCUCACUGGCCCGGUACUGACGCUGAGGUGCGAAAGCGUGGGGAGCAAACAGG